rnacentral:SRP_RNA from 1 species
CCGUGCUAAGCGGGGAGGUAGCGGUGCCCUCUGCUCGCAAUCCGCUAGAGCGAGGCUGAAUCCCUUCCCAAGGUUUGCAUAUUGUAGGGACUGCCCUUUGUAAGUGGUGUUGACGUCCGGGUUCCGCGCAACGGAAACUCGUGAACCCUGUCAGGUCCGGAAGGAAGCAGCAGUAAGCGGGACCUUUCGUGUGCCGCGGAGGCGCCUGGAUCGAGCUAACUGCUUAGGUACCGCUUAUGAUAUGCUUAUCGAAGGAAGGUGCACGG